UAGCUAACUUUACCUAGCUAACUAACUAGAUAACUAGUGAACUACAUUUGUUUAUCUAAACCAAAAUCUAGUUAGCUAGCGUUCAUAAUAUGCUGGCUAGACAUUUCAAAGCAUAACAAUGUAAUUAGCCAGCUGCUAUCUGGCCAUGUGAUUUUUAACUUUGCAAGCUAACAUUAGCUUCGUUAGGUUAUGUUAGCUAACCAUUAGCUAGCUAACUAACUAUCGCAGAGGCUAACGUGGCUAUGUGUUCUUUAGAGUAUGAUCCCAUCAACAUCUGCAGCGGCAUCAAGCUCAGCACCAAGAACCUAAAAUCUACUAAAUCUUUCCAUGACUCCAUGAUGAGCAAAUAAAUAAACUGGAGCUAGGAACAAACAUGGUCCGUGUCUUGUUGUCAUAGUUGGUGUGUUUACAAGUAGGCUACAACUUCUACUGUAGCUUUCUCUGUGUUAUGGAGGCUUAGUUGAUUGUUCAUGCAAGGCUUGAAGUCUAAAUUGGAAAAAAUAGGUAUUAGUAAGGAGGGGAUGGUUUGGGUGACUGACUUGUGUCUGUUGGAGGUGGGUAUUGUGUGAAGGUUAGUAUGCAUGAUCUAUUGACAUGAAUGGGGUGGGUGGAUAUAGUAUCUUGUUUGAGUGUGUAUUGAUGGGGACAAAGUAGUAAAAUGUGGCUUAAUCACUGACUUCUGUGUGUCCUACACACUAAUCCUGCUGCUGCUGAUGAUGAUGGCUUUGACACCGGCUUUAGUAGUACAGCGCCUGUAGACCCAUUGGAAGAAAGCUUUCAGCCUGGAAUAAGCUCAAGCUCAACAUCAUCUGACUUUGAAACAAGCCAGGGCAGCCAAAGGAGACUUGCAGUACAAACAAAUCUUCUGCAAGAGGUCGAAGCAGUGGGGGGUGAAAAAGUGUACGAGAGGCCACAUGGCUGUGAAGUGCAGAAAAGAGCAGACGGUUGUCUACAAGGAUCCAGAGUCACAGCUCCACUAAACAUCUCUGCCAACAUCACCACAGCUCCAAAGCCUGCUAAACCAGCUAUCAUUACCCAACACAAGAAGAGGGUCACCAGCUGAAAAACAUUCAGGAACCUGCCUGGAACAUUCAACCAACAACAUCCAUAUUUUGUAAUAUAAUAUGUAAAUGCCUAGUAUGCUCACAACUGCAUUGUGGUAUAUAUAUUGCUAGCUGUUGUACAUACAGUUGAAGUGGGAAGAUUACAUGAACUUAGGUUGGGAGUCAUUAAAAUUAGAUUUUCAACCACAAAACAAAUGUCUUGUUAAUAAACUAUAGUUUUGGCAAGUCGGUUAGGACAUCUAAUUUGUGCAUGACACAAGUAAUUUUUCCAACAAUUGUUUACAGACAGAUUAUUUCACAAUUCCAGUGGGUCAGAAGUUUAAAUACACUAAGUUUACUGUGCCUUUAAACAGCUUGGAAAAUUCCAGAAAAUCAUGGCUUUAGAAGCUUCUGAUAGGCUAAUUGACAUAAUUUGAGUCAACUGGAGGUGUACCUGUGGAUGUACUUCAAGGCCUACCUUCAAACUCAGUGCCUCUUUGCUUGACAUCAUGGGAAAAUCAAAAGAAAUCAGCCAAGACCUCAGAAAAAAAAUUGUAGACCUCCACAAGUCUGGUUCAUCCUUGGGAGCAAUUUCCAAAUGCCUGAAGGUACCACGUUCAUCUGUACAAACAAUAGUACGCAAGUAUAAACACCAUGGAACCACGCAGCCAUCAUACCGCUCAGGAAGGAGACGUGUUCUGUCUCCUAGAGAUGAAAGUACUUUGGUGCAAAAAGUGCAAAUCAAUCCCAGAACAACAGCAAAGGACCUUGUGAAGAUGCUGGAGGAAACCGGUACAAAAGUAUCUAUAUCCACAGUAAGACAAGUCCUAUAUCGACACAACCUGAAAGGACGCUCAGCAAGGAAGAAGCCGCUGCUCCAAAACUGCCAUAAAAAUGCCAAACUACGGCUUGCAACUGCACAUGGAGAAAUGUCCUCUGGUCUGAUUAAACAAAAAUAGAACUGUUUGGUCAUAAUGACCAUUGUUAUGUUUGGAGGAAAAAGGGGGAUGCUUGCAAGCCGAAGAACACCAUCCCAUCCGUGAAGCACGGGGGUGGCAGCAUCAUGUUGUGGGGGUGCUUUGCUGCAGGCGGGAAUGGUGCACUUCACAAAAUAGAUGGCAUUAUGACGAAGGAAAAUUAUGUGGGUAUAUUGAAGCAACAUCUCAAGACAUCAGUCAGAAAGUUAAAGCUUGGUCGCAAAUGGGUCUUCCAAAUGGACAAUGACCCCAAGCAUACUUCCAAAGUUGUGGCAAAAUGGCUUAAGGACAACAAAGUCAAGGUAUUGGAGUGGCCAUCACAAAGUCCCGACCUCAAUCCUAUAUAAAAUUUGUGGGCAGAACUGAAAAAGUGUGGAGGCCUACAAACCUGACUCAGAUACACCAGCUCUGUCAGGAGGAAUGGGCCAAAAUUCACCCAACUUAUUGUGGGAAGCUUGUGGAAGGCUACAUGAAAUACUUGACCCAAGUUAAACAAUUUAAAGGCAAUGCUACCAAAUACUAAUUGAGUGUAUGUAAACUUCUGACCCACUGGGAAUGUGAUGAAAGAAAUAAAAGCUGAAAUAAAUCAUUCUCUCUACUAUUAUUCUGACAUUUCACAUUCUUAAACUAAAGUGGUGAUCCUAACUGACCUAAGACAGGGAAUUUUUACAAGGAUUAAAUGUCAGGAAUUGUGAAAAACUGAGUUGAAAUGUAUUUGGCUAAGAUGUAUGUAAACUUCUGACUUUAACUGUAUGGACAGUGCCUUCGGAAAGUAUUCAGACACCUUUACUUUUUCCACAUUUUGUUACGUUGCAGCCUUAUUCUAAAAUGGAUUUAAAGAAAACAUUAUCCUCAGCAAUCUACACACAAUACCCCAUAAUGACAAAGUGAAAACAGGUUUUUAGAGAUUUUAGAAAAUGUAUUAAAAAUAAAAAGACCCUUUAAUUACGUAAGUAUUCAGACUCUUUGCUACGAGACUGUUUCCAUUGAUCAUCCUUGAGAUGUUUCUACAACUUGAUUGGAGUCCACCUGUGGUAAAUUCAAUUGAUUGGACAUGAUUUGGAAAGGCACACACCUGUCUAUAUAAGGUCCCACAGUUGACAGUGCAUGUCAGAGCAAAAACUAUGCCAUGAGGUUGAAAGAAUUGUCUGUAAAACUCAGAGAAAGGAUUGUGUCGUGGCACGGAUCUGGGGAAGGGUACCAAACAUUUCUGCAACAUUGAAGGUCCCCAAGAACACAGUGGCUUCCAUCAUUCUUAAAUUGAAGGAGUUUGGAACCACCAAGACCUUUCCUAGAACUGAGCAAUCGGGGGAGAAGGGCCUUGGUCAGGGAGGUGAUCAAGAACCCGAUGGUUACUCUGACAGAGCUCCAGAGUUCCUCUGUGGAGAUGGGAGAACUUUCCAGAAGGACAACCAUCUCUGCAGCACUCCACCAAUCAAGCCUUUAUGGUAGAGUGGCUAGAUGGAAGCCACUCCUCAGUAAAAGGCACAUGACAGCCCGCUAGGAUUUUGCCAAAAGGCACCUAAAGGACUCUCCGACCAUGAGAAACAAGAUUCUCUGGUCUGAUGAAACCAAGAUUUUCCUAUUUGGCCUGAAUGCCAAGCAUCACAUCUGGAGGAAACCAGGCACCAUCCCUACGGUGAAGCAUGGUGGUGGCAGCAACAUUGUCUGGGGAUGUUUUUCAGCGGCAGAGACUGGAAGACUAGUCAGGAUUGAAGGAAAGAUGAAUGGAGCAAAGUACAGAGAGAUCCUUGAUGAAAACCUGCUCCAGAGUGCUCAGGACCUCAGACUAAGGCGAUGGUCCACCUUCCAACAGGACAACGAUCCUAAGCACACAGCUAAGAUAACGCAGUAGUGGCUUCGGCACAAGUCUCUGAAUGUCAUUGAGUGGCCCAGCCAGAGCCCGGACUUGAACCCGAUCCAACAUCUCUGGAGAGACUUGAAAAUAGCUGUGCAGCGACGCUCCCUAUCCAACCUGACAGAGCUUGAGAGGAUCUGCAGAGAAGAAUGGGAGAAACUCCCCAAAUACAUGUGUGCCGAGCUUGUAGCGUCAUACCCAAGAAUACUCGAGACUGUAAACGCUGCCAAAGGUGCUUCAAAGAAGUACAGAGUAAAAGGUCUGAAUACUUGUGUGAAUGUGAUAUUUCAGUUCUUUCUUUUUUUAUAAAUUUGCAAAAAUGUCUAAAUGUGUUUUUGCUUGGUCACUAUGGGGUAUUGUGUGUAGAUUGAGGGGGGGGAAACAAUUGAAUCAAUUUUAGAAUAAGGCUGUAACGUAACGAAAUGGGGAAAGUCAAGGGGUCUGAAUACUUUCCAAGUGCAUUGUAUAUAGUGGUGUUUUAUAUUUCUUGCAAAUGUACUGACAAGUGACUAAACGAUUACAGCUGUAUCAGAAACCAAUAAAGUGUCGAUGACAACUUCUGGAUCAAUUCAUUGUGAAAUUCUUGAAAUGUAUUUGGAUAAACUAGCUUCAAGCUUAAUGCAAAAAUAAAUGAUGCAGGGAGUGGGUGUAUCAUUUGAACUUUAAUUUGAUGGAAAGCAAACAUGCUUCAGUAAAUGAGUCUGUCAAGAUAGCAAAUAAGUAGACACGGCCUGUAUUCAAAACAACAUUUAUUUUUCUCAAGGUGAGUUUACACAGCAGGAACAGUUAUGCCAAUUUAUGACACAGUCAAAAGUUUGGACACACCUACACACCACACAUCAUCCCAGUUUUUUUUAAAUGUAUUUUAUAGUGAAGACCUCAAAACGAUGAAAUAACGCAUAUGGAAUCAUCUAGUAACCAAAAAGUUUUAAACAAAUCCAAAUAUAUUUGAGAUUCUUCAAAGUAGCCACGCUUUGCCUUGAUGACAGCUUUGCACACGCUUGGCAUUCUCUCACCCAGAAAAUAAUAAAAUCAAGAAAACUCUGGAAUUAGUAGGUUUGUCCAAACUUUUUACUGGUACUGUAUGUACAGUAGAAGAAAAAUAUACUACUAAAGCUUAUAACAUACUACACCAUUUGCGAGGGAAUACUUGCACAUGGUGUGUUUUUAAGUGGUGCAGUGAAGUGUUCAGAGUAACUUUGAUACAAGGGGAGAUUGUUAUUAUGAGACCUUUCACAUCACUUAAGAGUCAUCAUCUUUUUUCUAUCAAAGUGGUAUUGUCUGUGAGAGGAAGACAUUAUUAGACAAGCAUGGGCAAUCUUUGUGUACUGUCUGUAUUCCUACUGUAGCGACCCGCACAGACAGCUGUGUGUUAUGUGUUAGGCUAGUAGGUGGUUGUGUUCGCGGGGUCCGACAUGUCAGUCAACCUGCUAUCUGCCAAUCACGGGAAUGCCUGGAAUGUUCUGAUGCCGGGCAUCCUGGUGGUUGGCGGAGUGGCGUGGAGGGGGGUUGGGCAGGGGGAUGGAGCAUUGGAAGUUAAGACCAGGUUUUGCCUUUGUUCUCUCUCUUACGUCUGGGCUUCACAAGAGAAGGUCACGAUUGGCUUGUGGGCUAUCUUUCAUUUAUUUGGCGUGGGCUACGGCCAAACAGUAGCCUGUGUAAAGUUGGUUUAAUAAACCGUCCAUUCGUAAACUCAA